rnacentral:rRNA from 1 species
UACGUGAGGGGCAAACGUUGUUCGGUGUCACUGGGCUUAAAGGGUGCGUAGGUGGUUACGUAAGUAACGUGUGAAAUCCCCCGGCUUACCCGGGGAAUUGCGCGUUAUACUGCGUGACUUGAGGACUGUAGGGGAAUGGGGAACUCCAGGUGUAGCGGUGAAAUGCGCAGAUAUCUGGGGGAAGGCCGGCGGCGAAGGCGCCAUUCUGGGCAGUUCCUGACACUGAGGCACGAAAGCGUGGGGAGCAAACAGG